AUCCAGACAUUUACGUUAUUGAAGUGACGUUUGUUAUUAAAAAAAUCUUAUUCUUUGGGACGUAAAUCACUAGAUAGGCAGUGGGCUACACCAACGUUCUGUAGUAGUGCGCCUUCAAAUUUGAGCGCCCUCUGCUGGCUGUUAUGUCUUAACAGUUGGCCAUUUUGAGGUCUACUCGCCUGUGUGGGAUAGUCCUUAUUCUUUAUCCUUUGUCCUUUAUCUCCACAUUACAGUGACUGCAGUGUUCAUAUUAGCAGCAGAUACUAAAAUGUUAGCUACUUGUGGGCACCAUUGUCAGUGCCUAUCUCAGUGAAUAGUGAUACAAUUAUUGUUUGACUAAUAGGAACUGAAAAGUUUACUUGCACUGCUGCACAAAAUAAAGGGGAAAAAAGCCUAAAAAACAGCCAUGAAGCUUGGAUCAAAAGGUUCUGCAUCUUAAAUUUAUUGUGCAUUUUAUAAUAGGAUUGUGGUGUAGUGAGAAGCAACAAACCAGAACAGAAGACAUUUAUUUUAGACAGUGUGCAAAUUUGCAGCAUUCGUAUCAACUACAAAAGAAAUUACUCAUUUUUGUUGAAUGUAAAAAUAUAAAAGUAGAGAUAAUAAAGUUAAUGCUACUUAAAUCAAAGCUAUGACAAAAAGAAAAACUCAAUGACACGAUUUAAAUGAACCAAGCAGCCAGUGACAAGUAUUAGAUGAAUUUGGCUGUAUUGAUGCAACAAACUCUAUAAUUCACUCAUUACUUGUUUUUACUCAGUUUCCUACAAUUACUGUGCAAUAUUAGAUAAGCAUAAUCUAACACACAAAAGUAGAUUUUAACAAGUUCCCUUAAUUAAUUUACUUCAAUGAAGUAUGGGAGAAUUUUUUUGCUGUUUUUAUUUUUCACUUUCUGUAAGAAGUUAACUGUACUGGUAAUUCAGAUUCUGCUUAGUCCCAACAAAAGGCCUGUUCUGGGCCUGUAAUAUUGUGUAUUUAAUCAUGCUGCUGAACAGGAUGGAUGCCAACUUGAUGCCAGCUGGAUGUCAAGGUCGAGUAGGAAAUGGGCUUCAGUGGGAUGGACAAGAUCAGAUAGGGUGCCUCCACCCAACAAGAUGAGUGCAUUAUGUUGAUUAAGCCUUUUAUUAAAGCAGAGUGGGAAAAACAGGUGGUUACAGGUGUAAUCGGUGGGAUCUCAGUGACCGAUAACAAAGGUUUAAUGUGCUCUGACUUUAACCUGCAGGAAGUGCGUCUGUUUUCUCAUCAUCCACUGCCUUCAUGUUCCAAUACACCAUCUUGGACUAAAUAACAAGCUUCAUGUAUCACAGCAUGUAUAUUCCUUAGGGAUAUGUUAUGAAAGAUUUACAAGGACUAGAGCUUAUUUCCAAAAACGAAAGUUUGUGUUCACGCUGCACUCAUCUACCUCAGCAUCAUUAACCUCUUCAUCCCAACUGGACUGACCAGUGGCUCCAUUAGAACUCAUGUUUUCUGGCCAGGCAUUGCUUAAACCCACAGACUUUCAAUUUAAAUUCUACUCCAUAUCCCAAAGGUUUAAAAAAAAUACCACAUAUGUCAGGCUGAAUUUUUGGAAAAAUGAUACAUUGGACAUGUAAUGUAAUGUAAUGAUGUAAUGGUGUCUUGAAUUUGAAUAUUUCAAUCAAUAUAAGCAUCAUAUUACAAUAUAUGGUUAGAAAAAGCAAAUACAGAAGACACUGCAUACUGUAUGACACAAUAUCACACAUGGAAAAAUCUUCUAAAUUUAAAGCUUCUUAUUUUAUUUUAAUUUUCAAUUUUAAUCAAUAUCUUUAUAUUAACAAUGGAUAACAUUACUACUUGUAUGUGAAAGUAGUCACUCAUAGUGAUGAACCCACAGAGAAUUAUCACCAACUCUGCAGUUCUCCUCAGCUCUUUCAGCUCAUUGUUUUGAGUAGUAUAUAAAAUAUACCCUUUUCCACAUACACACGCGUUCAUGUAUGUGUGUGCUGGAGCCAUUUGACAUUCUGAUUAUAUAAAAUAAAAAUUAAGAAAAGUAUCUGGAAGAUCUCACUUGCAAUUCAUGUAUUUAAACAAGCAUUUUGAAAAACAUUUACCUGAUCUAGCAGGGAAAUUUUCUUAGAAAGAGGAGCAGAUGGAUCUUAUCUGUUCUCAAAAAAUCUCUUCUGAACCGCAAGUAAGGGUGGAAAAUAUGGGAAAUUAGAAGAAUGAUGGACCUCUUGCAUAAAUGCUUAAUAUGACUUUUCCCAAUUUAGUCUUUCAUCUGUAUUGAAUCCUAAGAAUCUGUAUUCAAUACUUGGAGAAUUCCUGUUUCAUUUAUAAAUAUUAUAUAUUCAUUUUGGAGUAGGAGUUGCCUUUGUUACAAAAGAUCAUGAAGUUAUAUUUAUUAAUACUGAGAGUGAAUGUAUUCAUAUGAACCCGUUUAUUUAAAAUAAAAUAAAAUUGUAUUUUCUACAAAGUCAGCUGCAGGCGACAGGAGUUUCUUAUUCUACGGUUCUCAUAUGGGUGUUAAUUUUACCAAAACAUGUGAAAAAGUGAGGUGCGGUCUAUAAAUAGAGAAGUCGUUUUCAGGGCCAUGUCAUCCACCAGAUCCCCCCGGAGACUCUGUGUGUCCCUUCAUUUCCUCCUGCCAGAAGAAUAUUGAACACAACUAGACUCUGUAAACAUUGCAUCUUGUGAGUAUUACCAAAACUUUAUUUUAAAUGCGUUUUCAAAACAGAUCUGGCUAGCGAGGUAAAGUCUCCGGGGCAGAAAGAUUCUAGCAGUGGAUCAAGCAAGAGAAGAUUUUUCUUAGGAAAAAUAUUAGGUACACAACAAACUUCAUACCAAACUGCAAAAGGAGACUGUCCUUCCUUCAACAGACAAAAGCUGAUACAGAAAUACGGACCAAACAUUCAAUAACACCAGACACGAUCCCAAGACCUGCAAUCCCGACCAGUCCUGUUGAGAUCACAGAUACUCCACAGUCUGGCUCUUUUGAACAUCAGGAUCCAUCAAUUCCAGAAGAUCAAGAAUCAGUUAUGAGAUUCAGGACACCCAGGACUUGAGAGAGGUAGCAGAAUUAUCAACCCCAGGGAUAGUGUUGGGAUGAAAACAACUUUCCCUUGGAGGAGGAACAAUCUGCUCACAGUAAGAAACAAUGCAUCACAUCAUUGGUAUAAAGCAUAAGAGUCAAACAACCACAUCAAAACAAGAUUCAUAAUUAUUCACAAAAUGAACAUGACGGGCUGCUGAAACGUAGUAAGGCACAACUGCUAACAUGUAGACUUUGGUAGUAAACAAUGCCAAGAGAUUAGCCAGUAUUGCGAUAAAACAAGUAAGAAAAUGCCAUAAAAUUGAAAAAGAGGUUGUGCAUCUUAGAAGGGAGGUGGGAACGAUGAAGGAAAUGCUCAAUAUACUUUUUGUAAAGUUAAAUGAUUAAGUGUGUAUGCUAUGCACAUAUGGUAAACGUUUAAUUUGUGUCUGAUAUUGGUUGUUUUAUUUUGUAGUGUUUAAUUAUGGCUCGUAAAUAUGCAUGCAAAUCAAAACAUGGCAAAAGAUGCGGUAUUGUAAUCAGUGACGAUGAAAGCAACAAUGAAAAUGAUUAUGAAUCCUCUUCUCCCCGCAAGAGCUUGUCAGAUAUAGAGCGUGAAAUUGGGCAAAUGGUUAGUGAUACAGAUUCAGAUAGUGAAGAAAAUUGGCUUGAAUAUGAAACAUCACCCACCCCUGAAAACGUAAGCGAUAUUGAAAACAAAAUUGCUACAUUAUCUGAAGAUGUAGAAAUGACCCUUGCUCAGAGUUUUGAUCUAUUGCAAAAACUGGGUAUACUGGAAAGAGAUACCUCAGAAUUUAUCGAACCAGAUACUGAUGAUCAAACAUCUCAAAUGCAAACAGCCAGACCCCAAAGCCGAAAAAGCUCAUAUGGGGGGUAAUAAUAUACUGCAAAAUCUAUGCAGAGAUGGAGGAUGGAGGUCUGCUCUGGAAAACAGAGGAAUGAAGCUUAGCUGCAGUAAGACGGAAUACAUGUGUGUCAACGAGAGGGACCCAGGUGGAACGGUGAGGUUACAGGGAGCAGAGGUGAAGAA